UACACCCACCCCAAAACACUAAAGUGCAAGUUAUCAAGGUACACGUACUUGUAUUUUACUAAAAAACCAAAUUUCUUUAUUUUAUGUCAUCUAAAUUUAAAGGAUAUUAUUGUCAAAUUUACUUUAUUUUUCAAAUAAAAAAAACAAGCACCUUAUCUUGUUUUUACGCUUGCAACACCCGUGGGAGGAAUUAAGAAAGUGAGUAUAAAUUAUUUGUUAUAAGUUAUAAAAAUAAGUGUAAAUAAUUAAGUGGGUGUAUAAUUCUAACUUGCACUUUAAUAAUUUUAGGUGGGUGUAACUUGCUAACUUACAUCUUAGUGUUUUUAGGUAGAUGUAAAUUAGUAUCCUUAUAUUUUUUUUUUAAACCGGAUAUCUUCCACGUGCAACUGUAAAUUAUUAUCCUUAUACUUUUAUGUUUCAUUUGUAUUUUUAACAAAUUCCUUCUUUUCACUUCAUUUGGUGGUAACUGUACCAAUUUGGGAAAAACCACCGUACUGGAGUUUCUCUGCUGCCGUGAACCACCACACCGGAGACAAUUUGGGACUGAGAUUGAAGCAAGGUGAGUUAAUUUCCUCUUUUUCCUCUUUGAGUUGGCCUAAACAUGAAAAUCCAUUUCCCUAAUUUUCUCAAUUCUCAUGUUUGGCUGAAAUUGUUGUUACAUGUGGAGUCCUCUCACCCAAAGUAUGUGUAUUGAACUGGUAUGGGUUGAAAUUUCAAUGGAAUUGGGGAAGAAGAAAGAGUUGAAGAAGAUUAAGAAUUAUUGACUUUUCCUAAAUAAUUUAAAACCUGCUCUCAAAAUAAACAAGGUUCUAUGAUGGUACUAAUUGGAUAUGUCAAUGCUAGUUGCGUUAUUUUGGUUGGGCCUUUAGGAUGCUUUUUUAUCGUGGAAUCAAGCACGAACUUACGAGUUAAAGUUUCACUAUGGUUCUAAUGUUGAUAAAGAAAGGAUUGAUCAAGUAAAGAUUGUCACUUCCAUGUUAAUGAUUAUAUUUUGUAUGUACUUUGCUGUCAAAAGUUAUUUUGUAAGCAAUACUUGAUGUAAUAUCUCGAAUUAUACUUGUUUGUAAUGUAUCACUAUCUCAUGUGGGAUUGGAAAUCUUUCCAACCUACAAAUGUGUAAGGCUUUAAUAACUUUUAUUAUCAUUCUUUA